GCCAUCUCUCAUUCUCGCAUCUGAUCCCCAUCCUGUCGGUUAUUUGUUUUACUCUCCGGGCUCUUUUCUCUUCCCUCAUUUCCUUUUUCUCGCUUCUUCUUUUUGCUCCCCCCUCCCCUCUUCAUUUCGAUCUUCAAAAGAGAAAAGAACCCUUCAAAUUUCGAAGAUUCUCCAUAUAUUCGAAGAUUCUCGUGAUCCUCGACAAACUCGCUGUGAUCGCUUAUCAAAACAGAUAUUUGAUUCUUGAUCUGUAUAGUUGUUGUGCCUGUUUCGGAAACCUUUUCUGGUGUGGUGAAAGAGGAAAGAUGGUUUCGUUGCAAGGACCGGUGAUUUGCCCAGCCGUUCGGAGCAAACAAUUUGGGGUUUACAUGCCACCGGCGAACGGGCCUUUCCCGAGGGCAAAAUUGUAUAGAAGUGAUAUAUGGGGAUAUCGAGGGAUAACUGAUGGAAAGAAUAAGGCGCGUGCUAUUUUUCGUCAACUCAAAUUACGUAAGUGCAGGACCACGGUGCAGUGUAGUUUCAGUUCAUCUUCUGAUGGGAAUGGAAGCAUGGCCGAGAAUUUCAACGAAAAUGAUGAAGACUACGUAAAUUCCAGUGUGCUUGAAGCUGUUGAGGUGAGGAGUGGAGCUGAUGGAUUCAUGAUUAAAAUGAGGGAUGGUAGGCAUUUAAGAUGCGUCCAUAACAAUCCUCAAGGUGGGCAUCUGCCGGAUUAUGCACCACACCCUGCCAUCGUUCUGAAGAUGGAAGAUGGGACCGGUCUUCUUCUCCCAAUCAUUGUUUUGGAGAUGCCAAGUGUGUUGCUCAUGGCAGCAGUGCGCAAUGUCCAAAUUGCUAGACCUACCAUGUAUCAAGUUGUGAAGGACAUGAUUGACAAGAUGGGCUACACGGUAAAGCUUGUUAGAGUUACUAAAAGAGUGCAUGAGGCCUAUUUUGCUCAGUUGUACCUCACAAAGGUAGGUGAUGAGUCAAAGUCUGUCAUUUUUGACCUCAGGCCUUCUGAUGCCAUCAACAUUGCCGUGAGAUGCAAGGUAUCUAUACAAGUGAACAAGUACUUGGCAUACAGUGAUGGGAUGCGAGUGAUUGAGUCAGGGAAACUAUCAAUGCAGUCUCCAGCUUCAAAUGGGAUAUUAUUCACUGAACUGGACCGGCCAAGUGGUCAGCAUUGUCUUGAUACAGAGGAAUUUAAUAUGGUCUGCAAAUUAAAUGAGGCUAUCAAUCAGGAACGCUACAAGGAUGCUGCUGACUUGAGAGACAAACUUCGUAAAUUCCGGGCUCAAAGGAAGCUGAGGAAAUAUACAUAACAGUUGUCCCUGGUGACUUCAAUUGUAAAUAGGAAUUAUUAUUGGAAGCUGAUAAAUUGGAUGGUGGCUGGCUACGUAGAGCAGCAAUCAGUUUUCUUAAUCUUCGGCCAAAGAUGCAUGAUUUUGGGUGGUCAUCUGGAUCUGGUCAUGGUGGAUUUCUGGGGCAAAUGACCAAUAAAAGCCGUUUUGUUUUCAAAAUUUACCGAAAUGGGCCGAUUUUUUGAUUAUUUACCGGAAUGGGCCAUUUUUCGCGAAACUGCGUCCACGUCAGCGCGAUGUCAGGGUAUGUGUCAGGACAUCGCGUCCACGUCAGCGUGAUUUGCUUACGUGGACACAAAUCGCGCCUACGAGGACGCGAUUUGCUGACGUGGAUGAACAAUUUAUGUUUUUAAGCUUGGAAAACUUUGAAAGUCCAUAACUUUUCGCUCAGUUGUCCGAUUGAGACGUUUUUUUUUUGAUUUCGAAUAACUUUUUGAGAUCUACGCGCUGACAAACAGCCGAAGGCGGUUUGCCGCAGUUUUCGUCGAAAAAGAUCCUUUUUUGCCCCUAAAUUUUGAUUUUUUCGGUUUAAAAUUGAAUUUUGAAACAUUCAAAUUAUUAUUUUCCUUAUUUAUUUGAAGUAAACACCGGAUCUUUUUUUACAGAAUUGUCUUAUAUCAUCCUGUUAUAGGUAUAAGUCAGCUUAUUCCACUUUUGAGAAGUUCCCUAAAAUUUUCCAUUUUAUUCAAUUUAGUCCCUAAAACCUAAAUAGUCAUAUUUUCAACUCUAAGCUUCGUUUUUCAAUUCAAAUUCAAUUUCAUCCUUCCAUAACAUUCAAAUAUUCUUAAAUACAAAAAUUUCAUGCUAAUUUUGAAAUAAUUACACUUUAGUCCCUAUACUCGUAACUAACAAAUUAUACUUUACAAAUUAGUCUUUAUUAAUCUCUAAGCAGUUUGUUAGCGUGUAGAUCUUGAAAAGUUAUUCGAAAUCAAAAAAAAAUCGUCUCAAUCGGACAACCGAGCCAAAAGUUAUGGCCUUUCAAAGUUUUCCAAGCUAAAAAACAUAAAUUGAUGCCACGUCAACAAAUCGCGUCCUAAAGGGCGUGAUUUGUGUCCACGUCAGCAAAUCGCGCUUACGUGGACGCGAUUUCCUGGCGCGUACCCUGACAUCACGUUGACGUGGACGCGAUUUCGCGGAAAAUAGACCAUUCCGGUAAAUAAUUAGAUAAUUAGCCUAUUUCGGUAAUUUAAAAAAAAAAAGCUUUUUUGGUCAUUUGCCCGGAUUUCUGUUCAAUAAAUUUUUAUAGUGAUUUUCUGAUAAUUAGAAAUAUGUCGUAGCUAAAAUGUAAGUUGAAGAGCCAUCACAUCAGUAGAAAAUGAAAUUCUUUAAUAGGAUUAAUAUCACCCAUUGAAAUUUCACAGGUUUAAAGUCUAUAUGAAAAAAGAAAAAGUUUAAAAAAAACAUAAAUGUUAAAUCAUGUGAUAUUAGUUUUACUUAAAAUUAAAAUUUAUGUUUACUUAUUUGAAUAUUAAAAAAAAAAGAAAAUAGUUGAUGUUCAUAUAAACAGAACGACAUGGUUGGAGGGAUAGAAACAGAAAUGGUAUUGUAAAAAAAAAUUAGUUUCCUGGGAUUCCACUAUUCUUUGGAUUAUUUUUUACGAGUAACUUGUAAAA